UCAGAACAUCUUCCACCAUGGCCACCUCAGCAAGUUCCCACUUAAACAAAGGCAUCAAGCAGGUAUAUAUGUACCUGCCUCAGGGCGAGAAAGUCCAAGCCAUGUAUAUCUGGAUUGAUAGUACCGGAGAAGGUCUACGCCACAAGACCUGCACCCUGGACUGUGAGCCCAAGUGUGUAGAAGAGUUACCUGUGUGGAAUUUUGAUGGCUCUAGUACUUUACAGUCUGAAGGCUCCAACAGUGACAUGUAUCUCGUGCCUGCUGCCAUAUUCCAGGACCCCUCUGCAAGGACCCCAACAAGCUGGUGUUCUGUGAAGUUUUCAAGUAUAAUUGAAAGCCUGCAGAGACCAAUUUGAGGCACAUCUGUAAGUGGAUAAUGAACAUGGUGAGCACCCAGCACCCCUGGUUUGGAAUGGAGCAGGAAUACACACUGCGGGGACAGAUGGGCACCCCUUCCUUGGCCUGCCAAAGGCUUCCUUGGGCCCCAGGUCCUUAUUAUUGUGGUGUGGGAGCAGACAGAGCCUAUGGCAGGGAUAUUGUGGAGGCUCACUACCGAGCCUGCUUGUAUGCUGGAGUCAAGAUUGCCGGCACUAAUGCCGAGGUCAUGCCUGCCCAGUGGGAAUUCCAAAUUGGACCCUGUGAAGGAACCAGCAUGGGAGAUCAUCUCUGGGUGGCUCGUUUCAUCUUGCAUCGCGUGUGUGAAGACUUUGGAGUGAUAGCAACCUUUGAUCCCAAGCCCAUUCCUGGGAACUGGAAUGGUGCAGGCUGCCAUACCAACUUCAGCACCAAGGCCAUGAGGGAGGAGAAUGGUCUGAAGUACAUUGAGGAGGCCAUUGAGAAACUAAGCAAGUGGCACCAGUACCACAUUUGCGCCUACAAUCCAAGGGGAGCCUGGAUAAUGCCCAGCGCCUAACUGGAUUCCAUGAAACCUCCAACAUCAACGACUUUUCUGCUGGUGUAGCCAACGAUAGUGCCAGCAUCCACAUUCCCCAGACUAUUGGCCAGGAAAAGAAGGGCUACUUUGAAGACCAUCUUCCCUCUGACAACUGUGACCCCUUCUUGGUGACAGAAGCCCUCAUCAAUUGUCUUCUCAAUGAAACUGGCAACGAGCCUUUCCAGUACAAAAACUAA